rnacentral:rRNA from 1 species
AGAAUCAACGCUGGCGGCGUGCCUAACACAUGCAAGUCGCACGAGAAAGGGACUUCGGUCCUGAGUACAGUGGCGCACGGGUGAGUAACACGUGAAUAAUCUACCUCCGAGUGGGAAUAACUGAGAGAAAUCUUAGCUAAUACCGCAUAACACUUACGAGUCAAAGCAGCAAUGCGCUUGGAGAGGAGUUCGCGGCAGAUUAGUUAGUUGGCGGGGUAAUGGCCACCAAGACGAUGAUCUGUA